CUCCCGGGCCUCCGGAUCCUGGCUGGGAGCCAUCUCUGCCUCCUGCCGCUUCCUGCACUCCUGAUCAGGUCAGUGGCCAGUCACAGACCUCUGAAAUGUCCUUCCUGACUGUUAGCUCCACAGCAUUCCUACAGCUCCCGCCGCAGUUCCGCCCUCCGGAGGGUUCCAACAGCAGCCCAGUGCGCCUCCCCAGCCCCAGGCUCCCUCCACUCCAGUGAGCCUGCACCUGGCGCUCCCUGGCACACAUAUUUUCCAUUGCUCUUCACUGCCAAUUAAAUGCAAAUUUCUCAUCGUGGGGUUCCAAGUUCUCUGUAUUUGGUCCUCUUAUCCUGACAGCUCUACCCUCCCCAGAGCACUACAAUCUGGCCAAGAGCCUCACCAGCCUAUUCCCCCGAACCAUUGUUUUAUUUAUUUUAGAUUCAGGGGUAUUUGUAUGCAGGUUUGUUACAUAAGUAUAUUGCGUUAUGAUAAGGUUUGUGCUUCUGAUGAUGAUCCAGUCGCCCAACAUAGUACCGGAUAGUUAGGUUUUCUUCCAUUGCCCCCCUCUCCCUCCUUCCUUUUGGGGUCCCUGGUGUCUGUUAUUCCCAUGUUUAUGUCCUUAUGUACCCAGUGUUUAGAUCCCACUUAUAAGUGAGAGCAUGUGGCAUUUGGUUUUCUGUUUCUGCAUUAGUUUGCUUAGAAUAACGACUGCCAGCUGCAUCCAUGUUGCUGCAAAGGACAUGAUUUCCUUGUUUUUUAUGACUGCACAGUAUUCCAUGGCCAAAAAAAUGUGGUAUAAAAAUAUGUACCACAUUUUUUUAAUCCAGUCCACAGUCGAUGGGCACCUGGGUUGAUCACAUGUCUUCACUAUUGUGAACAGUGCUGCAAUGAACAUACGUGUGCAGGUGUCUUUUUGGUAGGACUAUUUAUAUUCCUUUGGGUAUAUACCUAGUAAUGGGAUUGCUUGGUCUAAUAUUCAUUCUAUUUUAGAUCUUUAAGAAAUCUGCAAACUGCUUUCCACAGGGGCUGCAUUAAUUUGCAUUCUCACCAAAGUGUGCAGGCAUGGAGUUAACCCUCUGAAAACACAGGAUGCCAGUCUAAAGAGUGAAGAGAAAAUGUGGUUGGAAGAUGUGUUCUUCUACCUUUACAUCAUAAAUUUCAGAACAGUGCAUUUCAUGACCAGAAGAUGAAUUACUGUUCACAUUUUUCUGCAUGCUCUGGAUAAGAUUUGCAAUUGUGAUCAUUGCCAAUGGAAGCACAGUAACAGCUUUCAGAGGGUCAGUGGAAGCCAGUAUGGAAGAUAUACGCUGGACAAGGCAGCCUCUUGAGUGAUGAUGUAACUACCAUUAAACACAUGGUAUCAGGGAACUACAGAGGUAUGAUCUGUGUUGCUUCAAUACAAAAAAGUGAAGAAGAGCCACGGCACUGCCAGUAAUAAUGACGUUCCAUGAGAGAUAUACAAGUAGCCAGAACUUUUGCCACUAAGAAGAAACUUCACACUGAAAGGACAAUAGAUAAAUAUGUAAAUGCAUCUUGUCUACCUAUCACUCUAAAUCAAUUGAUCAGUGUAUACAUCACCAUGCCUCAUGAAUUUUGUCAUAAAUUUUUAAUCAAAUUGUUUAUGCAGAGGAUUCACGAAAAUGAGAGAGAUAAUCUGCCCUGGAUUAAUCAAUGACAUUUACCAAGCUCUAAUAAGAACAAGAAUUGUGCUAGAUACCAUGGAUACAAUAAAGAACAAUGCACAAAUGGACUAAAUGUAACUCACUGUCUAAACUGGUAGCAAUGCAUAUAGACAGACGCAGGGUGUCCUGAGCAGGGACAUAGGAAGGGGUGAUGGAAUGAACACCCAGCGAUGGUUCCGUACUGAUGUUCCCAGUUGAAGUCAUCAAAAAGGUGACCACUCCACAGGAACUCCAUUUGAGGGCCUUGUUCAAUGGGACUUUUCAGCCAUCCUCCCAAUCCAAGUAUUUUCUUCACCUAUUAAACUUGUCUUUGAUUAGCUCUCCAUUGGUCAGAGAUUCUGUGAGAUACCUAUGAAAAGAUGGAAGUGACACUUACAUAUGCCUAUCCCAACAGCCUAGCUGGAAAUCACCAAAAUGAGGCAAGAGAACAGGGUUUUUAGUGAACCUUUUUCCUGUGUGCCUGUUCUAGUUGAAGAAUCUGGGUUUAAUAGACCUAGAAUUCUUUAUAAAAGAAUUCUUGCCAGGCCAGGCGUGGUGGCUUACGCCUGUAAUCCCAGCACUUCAGGAGGCCAAGGCAGGUGUAUCAUGAGGUCAAGAGUUUGAGACUAGCCUGACCAACAUGAUGAAACCCCGUCUCUGCUAAAAAUACAAAAAUUAGCUGGACGUGGAGGCACAUGCUUGUAAUCCCAGCUACUCAGGAGGCUGAGGCAGGAGAAUCAUUUGAACCUGGGAGGCGGAGGUUGCAGUGGGCCGAGAUCGCACCAUUGCACUCCAGCCUGGGCGACAGAGUGAGACUUUGUCUGAAAAAAAUAAAAUAAAAAAAUAAAGAAUUCUUGCAACCACACCUCACAGAUCACAGUUCCAGAACUGCUGCAGAAGAAGGUCUUUCUGAAGAAGGUACAAAGGGGAAAGAUAAAGGUGCUGGGUUUUAUCUCUGGUCCUGGUCAGAAUCAACUCAGUCUUUACCAACAGGGAUUGUCCCAUCUGUCAUCCUUGGUUACACAAGCCCCAUCAGGCAGAAUGGGGGAAGGACUGAGCUCUGGGCCUGGUGAGCACCACUGAGCGCCCCACUGCUACUUCAGGAAUCGCCUAUCAGGCUGGUGGGUGGGGUAGGAGUGAAAAUAAUCAGCACCAGUUUUGGAGUCCAGUCUAGAAGUGGCAUUUGACCAGACCCCCCCAUAGCUCUUGAGGGUCUUUUCUGAGGACCUUUACUGCAGUCUAUGCAAAAAACCCACUCAUAGUCCUCAGUAACUUCCAGUCCUCCAAAGCCAUACAGUGUGGUCAUUUUACUCAUCCUCUAGGCUUUCUUUAGUUAUUCAUGCAAAGAUAGGCCUGGCCUUGGGUGUCUGUAGCGAGGCCACAAGGCCUUGGAUCAGAACAGCAACGUCAGGGAAAACAAAAUCCAAGGGGCUGCCCAGUCCAAGGGCAAACUGGGAGUCUAGUCCCCAUCUUGUAACCACGAUCUCUACCUUGCGAUGCUGCAGGGGCACCUCUUCUGCCUUUCACCUAGGCUCCUGGCAAAGGCCUUGCAAAGCAUUAUUCAGGGCACUGUGUGAGGCCAGAGAAGGAACUGAGGAAGACCACACCCAUACACAGAGAUGAAGAGUGUGGAGUGACAGGAAGGCGGGGCUUGAGCUGGUGGCAAAACGGGAAAAGUUCCCUUAUCCCCGUGGCAGGGCUUGCGAUGGAGGUGUGGCUGGCUUCUUCUGUGCCCCGCUGCUCAAACCUGUAGGGGGAGCAUGCAGAUGGGCAGGUGGUGGGGCUCCAACCCCACAGCAAUGUCUAAGGGUGAAUGUUUACAGCUCCUGAGGUCCCAAUGGGCCUGUGUUACAGGAUGCUGUUUCAGUUGAGCCAUCCCUAGUCAGCUGUUAGACCUCCUGCCUUAUUCCAAGGACAGAGGCUUUCUGUAUCCUGAGGUUUCUUGCCUCCGUGCACCAAAAGAAUCAGAUCACACAUGGGCUUGGAGAAUGAGUGCAAGGUUUUAUUGAGUGGAAGUAGCUCUCAGAUGGGGGAGCCAGAAGGGAGACGGAGUGGGGAGGUGGUUUUCCCCUCUGAAGUCGGACCGCUCCGUGGCCAGGCUGUCCUCCAGCUGCACUGAGUGGUUCUGCCUGUCGAUGGCCUGCCAGCCUGCCGUGGGCCACUAUCAGUCUGCUCUUACACCGGUGUGUUCCUCUUGACGUCCAGAGGCUUGUGUGCGUGCCUGCUAAGCUCUCAGGUUUUUUUACAGGCACAGAAUGAGGGUGUGGUAGGCCAGGGUAGUCUUGGGAAAUCCAACAUUUAAGCACGAAAACAGAAAUGCCUGUCCUCA
rnacentral:lncRNA from 1 species